AUUAGAUUAUCAUGCCUACAAUAUAUAAUCUGUGAUGCUAUGUGCUUUUUUGGACCAAAGCUAGGGAUGCAUACUAUAAAAUGCUUUAUUUGAGAGAAGCAAUUAACUCAGCUUAACAUGGGAGUAUAUAAGAAGAAAUAUUUACUCCUAGAGACACUUUAUGAGUUUCCAAUUACACUUGGAGACACAUUGCACUUGCCACACACAUUUUGUGUAUCUAAAGACACUAACACCCCUGAACUAGACUAAAUUUCAGUUUCUCACUCUUCUUCUCUCCUAACUCGUUACGCAAACUCUUCUUUUUUUUUCUCGAAAGAAUAACAAAUUCAUCCUCUUUCUUAACUCAAUUAUAUUUUGUCAAAUGUUCAAACCUAAUACACAGAGUUCAAUAAAAAAAAAUCAAAAGAGGAUUGAUUGGUGUGAUGAUAAGACCAAAGCUUGUAAUGAAAUCGAUCAUGGACGGGAUCAGGAUUCGCCGUGGCUGAGCUCGGGAUCCGCCGUGGAUGAGCUCGGGAUCCACCGUGGAUGAGCUCGGGAUUCGCCGUGGCUGAGCUCGGGAUCCGCCGUGGAUGAGCUCGGGAUCCACCGUGGAUGAGCUCGGGAUUCGCCGUGGCUGAGCUCGGGAUCCGCCGUGAUGAGCUCGGGAUUCGCCGUGAUGAGCUCGGGAUCCGCCGUGGAUGAGCUCGGGGUCCGCCGUGGCUGUGCUCGGGAUCCGCCGUGGCUGAACUCGGGAUCCGCCGUGGAUGAGCUCGGGAUCCGCAGUGGCUGAGCUCAGGGUAGCUGCGGUAGAGUAUCAGAGAGUGGAAAAGCUCGAGAUUCAGCGACCGUUUCACCGCCUCGGUAACCCGUAAAACUCACCGGACAUUUCAAAUCCACUGUGAGAUAACCUCUUUCCAGAUUUCGCUGGAACUAGUUAACUAGAUCUGAGCGUCGGUGAGAGGUUCUUUGAUCCGUUCGAGGAAACAUGGCAAGGAUGAGAAGUUUUAUAGGUUUGAUUAACAAAAUACAGAGAGCUUGCCCUGUCCUCGGAGAUCACGACGUGAAAGAAUGUCCCUUUGGAAAGCUCUCCCAACCGUAGAUGUCCUUGGUGGCCAGCUUCAGUUAUUUCCAACGGAACGUGCUCCACCAUCACCCGUUACAUGGACAAAUGGAUGGACUCUCACCAACGAGUGGGUACAUGGCCUUAUGUCCUCUUUUGAAUAGUCUUCAUGGAACCUCCCUCCUUCUCAGUUCCCUUCAGUGAUGCCUGUCAACGUCUUCGACUCCCUCAUCCUCACUGCUUCCAAAAUCCUCCACCAAGAACGCAUUAUUGUCCAUGUUGAUGAUCUGGACUCUGAUUCCAAAGUUGUUGUGGUUGGUGACAUUCAUGGUCUCGAGUUCUGAAGCAUGGAGGGUCUUGAGUUCUAGGAAGACCUUUGUACUUUGCUGCUCUUUCACCUGGAGGGUAACACUGCCAUGGCUAAUGGGACUUAAAAGAAGCUGUAAAUCCAUCAAGAGAAACCGCAAGUUACCAAGAGCUCAUUCAUAUAUAAUCGUUGGACAUGUUUGAAUUUAAGCUUUGUUUUUCUUGUUGGACAUGUUUGAAGUUAUUAACCUUUUGGUCUGUUUAACUUUGUUUUUCAUCACCCAGCUUUUGUUUUUCUCAAUGGACAUGUACGUGGCUGUUUUUGGUUUGAACUUAUUAACUUGUUCAUCUUUGAGAUUUGGACACAUUAGUAUCUAUAUCCAUAGACUUUUAAUGUCACAAUUUUUUUUAUCUAAGUUGUUUAGUGUUAGUGACUCUGUCCACCACAUCAAGUUUGGAUUCUCUAUCCACAAAUUUAAAAAUCUCUUUUUUAUCUAUGGUCGUCCACAUCCACAACAUAACCAAAAUAUUUGAUCAAAAAAUAAAAUAACAAUUUCAAACUAUUCCAAAAAAGUGUUAAAAAAAGACUAUUUCAAAACAAAAACAAAAAGUUCACGUGCUAUCGAAACCGUAAGUCAACUUCUUUUUCAUUUCAAUAAGGGCAUAACUGUCCACAUUUUCUUUGGGCCCACCACAAAGUGCCUUGCAAGUAGAAAGUGUCUUUAUAUGCAAUAGAAACUCAAAAUGUGUCCCAUAUGGUAAUCAACUCAUAUAAGAAUACCUGCAUUGCAUGCCUUUGUUUGUAAAAUAGGUGAUAGCUAGUAGUAUAUCCAACUAAUGUACAUGCUUCAGUUUCCAAACAUGGCUCCUUUCAGACAAUUGUGCUUAAUUUUUCUUUGAAGUAUGUAACUAUACUGCAUAAUGGAACUUUUUAUUUCCAACAGAAAUUUGUGGCUACAGGUUUGAAGAAGGAUGAUUUAUUUUUUGGCGAUAUAAGCACAUUGUAUAAAUGUCAAAACACCAUUGUUGAUAUGAAAAUUGACGACCACUCAAGUGUGUCAACAAAAGUAAGUAUCAAAAAUCUCAUGCCAUCUGCUAAGCUAUUAUCAGCUUCAAAAUACC